UGGGGAAUAUUGCACAAUGGGCGCAAGCCUGAUGCAGCCAUGCCGCGUGUGUGAAGAAGGCCUUAGGGUUGUAAAGCACUUUCAGCGAGGAGGAAGGGUUCAGUGUUAAUAGCACUGUUCAUUGACGUUACUCGCAGAAGAAGCACCGGCUAACUCCGUGCCAGCAGCCGCGGUAAUACGGAGGGUGCAAGCGUUAAUCGGAAUUACUGGGCGUAAAGCGCACGCAGGCGGUUUGUUAAGUCAGAUGUGAAAUCCCCGAGCUUAACUUGGGAACUGCAUUUGAAACUGGCAAGCUAGAGUCUUGUAGAGGGGGGUAGAAUUCCAGGUGUAGCGGUGAAAUGCGUAGAGAUCUGGAGGAAUACCGGUGGCGAAGGCGGCCCCCUGGACAAAGACUGACGCUCAGGUGCGAAAGCGUGGGGAGCAAACA
rnacentral:rRNA from 1 species